rnacentral:rRNA from 1 species
GACGAACGCUGGCGGCGUGCUUAACACAUGCAAGUCGAACGGAAAGGCCCUGCUUGCAGGGUACUCGCGUGGCGAACGGGUGAGUAAAACAUGGGUGUUCUGCGCUGCACUUCUUGAUAUGCCUGCAAGACAGGGUGUAUAAUCGCAUAUGGGCGAUUCUUAGUGUGAUGGUUGGAUAGAUUUUUCGGUGUAGGGUGAGCGCGCGGCCGAUCAGCUUGUUGGUGGGGUAGUGGGCUACCAAGCCGGCGACGGGUAGCCGGCCUGAGAGGGUGGGCGGCCACAUUGGGACUGAGAUACGGCCCAGACUCCUACGGGAGGCAGCAGUGGGGAAUAUUGCACAAUGGGCGGAAGCCUGAUGCAGCGACGCCGCGUGCGGGAUGACGGCCUUCGGGUUGUAAACUCCUUUCGCUUGUGACGAAGCUUUUGGGACGGUAAUCGAGAUAGAAGCACCCGCUAAAUUAGGG